AGAGUUUGAUCAUGGCUCAGGACGAACGCUGGCGGCGUGCUUAACACAUGCAAGUCGAACGGAAAGGCCCUUCGGGGUACUCGAGUGGCGAACGGGUGAGUAACACGUGGGUAACCUGCCCUCAGCUUCGGGAUAACUCCGGGAAACCGGGGCUAAUACCGGAUAUUCAUUGUUGGUCGCAUGACCGGUGGUGGAAAGUUUUUCGGCUGGGGAUGGGCCCGCGGCCUAUCAGCUUGUUGGUGGGGUGAUGGCCUACCAAGGCGACGACGGGUAGCCGGCCUGAGAGGGCGACCGGCCACACUGGGACUGAGACACGGCCCAGACUCCUACGGGAGGCAGCAGUGGGGAAUAUUGCGCAAUGGGCGGAAGCCUGACGCAGCGACGCCGCGUGAGGGAUGACGGCCUUCGGGUUGUAAACCUCUUUCAGCAGGGACGAAUUUGACGGUACCUGUAGAAGAAGCACCGGCCAACUACGUGCCAGCAGCCGCGGUA
rnacentral:rRNA from 1 species